UACGUAGGGUGCAAGCGUUGUCCGGAAUUAUUGGGCGUAAAGAGCUCGUAGGCGGUCUGUCGCGUCGGCUGUGAAAACUUGGGGCUCAACCCCAAGCCUGCAGUCGAUACGGGCAGACUAGAGUGUGGUAGGGGAGACUGGAAUUCCUGGUGUAGCGGUGAAAUGCGCAGAUAUCAGGAGGAACACCGGUGGCGAAGGCGGGUCUCUGGGCCAUAACUGACGCUGAGGAGCGAAAGCGUGGGGAGCGAAC
rnacentral:rRNA from 1 species